CCUUCUCCUCUAUAAAGUUAGACAUUUCUCCUUUUCCUUUGUAGUUGGGUAAUUUUGUGUAGCACUCAGAGGCAUAAUGGCCAAACUUAUGGCAUCUGUAGCACUCUAACUUGGACUUUUCAUAAAUUCGACAUCUUCCUUAUUGUUGGUAAGGAUGUUGAAAUCUCUAUUUCCUCGACCUCCAUGUCCUCCUCCUCUACCCCUACCCCUUCCUAUGAAGUUAUUGGCAUGAGUAUUGGUAGUAGCCUUCAAUGCUUGUUCCUCCAUUGUUGAACUUCUAUGCAUCUUUUGUUCACAUAGUUGUGUCUUAGCACUUUGCACAAAUAGUUGGUGUAGAAUAAAAAAGAAAUUUACGUUAUACUUCCUUUUUCUCUCUAGCUCUGAUACCAGUGUUAGUUGUAGAAGAUUGUGAACUGAUAUAUCUUAUUGUACUAAAUUACUGCCUUUAAAAAGGUAGAUAAAGAGAGGUUACAAUCAGUUUCAAAGUUAUACAUAAU
rnacentral:lncRNA from 1 species